rfam:Brachypodium distachyon strain Bd21 chromosome 1, whole genome shotgun sequence.
GUCCCUCAGGGGACAUCCGAUAAAAUUGAAACGAUACAGAGAAGGUUAGCAUGGCCCCUGCGCACGCACAAAUCGAGAAAUGGUCAAAAAAACCCAAUAUAAAUUUUU